UGACAAAGCUGCAGAAGCACACACUGCACUGAGAAUACCUAGGAGCUGCUGGAGAAGGCUGACUACAUCACUCCCUGGAACUGGCAUAUUUCCUGGUCCCAAGAUAACAGACUUUCCAUGCUGACAGUUAAUGUAGUUAGGUCCUGCCCCAGUACUUGCUGCUACUUCCACACUGUAUCGAAUACCAGGAACUAAGGAAAGGAUGACUACAGAAAAGGUGGAACCAUCUACUGUCUUGUUUAUGUGGUAUCUGCUUUCAUUGCCCAGGCACCAAACCUGUAGAUCAAGCUAUUGCAAUGAGCUCUACAUGCAGCUACACUUUCAAUCUACCUCAAAAUCAAAAAUGGUGCAGAAUUCAACAGCUUGUUUGUUAUGAGGGAAGUUUGAACAGAUAAAAGAUGUUUGUUAAGGAAACAAAAGGGAAGCUACUCCUGAACAGAUGCAUCAUGGAAGAAGAAAAUGAAAAGUGUUGUAAGCAGCCUUGUAACUUUAUGCCAGAGAUGUGACAGAAUGAACACU